GUCCCUGUCGCUUAGUGGUUAAAGCAGCUCGUUGUGGCUUAGCUACGUAAUUGUACCGAGCAGCCGGGUGUUCGAUCCACCCCAGAGACA